rnacentral:lncRNA from 1 species
GCCCUGCCCUGCCCUGCCCGGCCCGGCCCUGCCCGCAGCGCCUCAGGGGGAACGCACCAACUGUGCAGCUCCAGGGCCGGCCCAAGCCCCUCCGCGAGCGCGGAAGCAACGCCACCCUACCAUAGGCGACCCCCGCCCCGGGAUGCUUCCCCCGAGGCGACUGCUCGCCUGCAGCUGCAGGAAACAUAAGAAGGAAGCUGUGAGGGGCUGGAAGGAAGAUGCUGCCUUGCAAGAACCCAUCUGAACAGUGUCAUGUGCUGCACAAAGAGGUCCUGCUGCAGAUUUCUGCUCUCACCAACACCAGCAGUCAAGGGCUCCUGCAGUCUCACAGGAUGUUCCCUGAGCUUUGCCAAAUGACUGAACAUCCCACAGUGACCUGGACAUGGAAAAUUUCGUCCUCUUGUAGAAAAAUCCUAUUGAUGUUCUUCAGAUUUAGUACAGUACCAAGAUCCCCUGUCUGUUGGCCUAACAAGCAGAUUUAAUUCAGCUCUCCAAGCAGGGAGCCCUGCAGAAAAAAAAAUGUCCUUCAG